GACGAACGCUGGCGGCGUGCUUAACACAUGCAAGUCGAACGGAAAGGCCCUGCUUGCAGGGUCCUCGAGUGGCGAACGGGUGAGUAACACGUGGGUGAUCUGCCCUGCACUUCGGGAUAAGCCUGGGAAACUGGGUCUAAUACCGGAUAGGAGCCAUUUUUAGUGUGAUGGUUGGAAAGUUUUUUCGGUGUAGGAUGAGUUCGCGGCCUAUCAGCUUAUUGGUGGGGUAAUGGCCUACCAAGGCGGCGACGGGUAGCCGGCCUGGGAGGGUGGACGGCCACAUUGGGACUUGGAUACGGCCCAGACGCCUACGGGGGGCAGCAGUGGGGAAUAUUGCACCAGGGGCGCAAGCCUGAUGCAGCGACGCCGCGGGGGGGAUGACGGCCUUCGGGUUGGAAACUCCUUUCGCUAGGGACGAAGCUUUUUGUGACGGUACCUAGAUAAGAAGCACCGGCUAACUACGUG
rnacentral:rRNA from 1 species